rnacentral:lncRNA from 1 species
CUCUUUUUCACACCAAUCCAGUUUCCACUAUUCAUGAACCGCUUUGGCUGAAAAUUUGGUUGAAAAAACCGCUACUUGAGGAUAAAAAUGCAUACAAAACAAGGCAUCAGUUGGUCACUCAUAUUCUCUACUGCUUAACCCUAAUUGCACUCUCUCGCGAUCAUACAAAGAAAAUCGAAAGAAUCUAAGGUAAUUGAGACAUAUACCAGUAUGUAUUAUCUUUCCUACUUCAAUUUCUUCCUCUUUUGUACAUAGUUUCCGCUUUUUGGAGUUUUAUUGUUGAAUCUACGAUUUCUUUUAUUUUUUUGGUUCGAAAGAAUCUAAGGCAAUUGAGACAUGUACCAGUAAGUAUUAUCUUCCUUACUUCAAUUUCUUCAUCUUCCGUACGUUGUUUCCAAUUUUUGGAGUUUUAUUGUUGAAUCUGCAAUUUCUUUUAAUUUCUUUUGUUCAAUCUUUUAAGAAGUCGAACCUCAAAUACCUAAAGUAUGUUUCUUUGAUGUUUUUAUUGUGUAUUCUUCGUUCAAUUCUUUCUACUGUGUUGAAAAUUCCAACUAAGCUCAUGUUUGUCGAUUUUUGCCUAUGUUAUGAUUAGUUUGGAAUGAUUUUGUACAGUUUUGGUUGGCUCAUGUUUGUUGAUUUCGUGAAUUUGGUAUUGUUAAGUCUUAAAAACAAUAUUUUUUUUAACAAUUACAGAUUACUUUUAUUUUUGUGUAAUAGAUGUAUGAGUAAUUGUAUUCAUAUACAUAUUGGUAUGUAAUUUUUUUUCACGGUUUGGGUUUUUUAUACUGAUAGAAACUAUAUAUUCUAACAUCAUAGAAAUAAACCAUGUUAACUUAAAGUUUUUACAAGUAUCCACAACCACAAGUGAUGAGGUAAAGAAGCUAAACUAAGAUUUGAGGUACUGGGGUUCUUAUGUUAUUAUAAGUAUACUUAUCCUGAUCAGAAAACUAAAGGAAAGUUUGUUUUACAUGUUGGAAUUUGGAUGGUAUUUACGCAUAAGAUUUGAAUUUGAGGGGGUAAAAACCCCCUACCUUCUUUUGGAUGGCAUUAUGGAUUAAAGAAUGGCAAUGAAUCCCAAUCCUAAAUCUGAACUUUUAAUACAGAACUUCUCUGUUCCACAAAUC